GGUAACAUUUCUAGCUUGCUAGAAGAUGACGAGUGGCGGACGGGUGAGUAAUACUUAGGAAUAUGCCUUUGUGUGGGGGAUAACUAUUGGAAACGAUAGCUAAUACCGCAUAACGUCUUCGGACCAAAGGGGGCUUCGGCUCCCGCGCAAAGAGUAGCCUAAGCGAGAUUAGCUUGUUGGUGAGGUAAAGGCUCACCAAGGCGACGAUCUCUAGCUGUUCUGAGAGGAAGAUCAGCCACACUGGGACUGAGACACGGCCCAGACUCCUACGGGAGGCAGCAGUGGGGAAUAUUGCACAAUGGGGGCAACCCUGAUGCAGCCAUGCCGCGUGUGUGAAGAAGGCCUUCGGGUUGUAAAGCACUUUCAGUUGUGAGGAAAGGUUGGUGGUUAAUACCCAUCAGCUGUGACGUUAGCAACAGAAGAAGCACCGGCUAACUCCGUGCCAGCAGCCGCGGUAAUACGGAGGGUGCGAGCGUUAAUCGGAAUUACUGGGCGUAAAGCGCACGCAGGCGGUUAUAUAAGCUAGAUGUGAAAGCCCCGGGCUCAACCUGGGAAUAGCAUUUAGAACUGUAUGACUAGAGUCUUGGAGAGGGGGGUGGAAUUCCAGGUGUAGCG
rnacentral:rRNA from 1 species